rnacentral:rRNA from 1 species
ACGACUCUCGGCAACGGAUAUCUCGGCUCUCGUAUCGAUGAAGAACGUAGCGAAAUGCGAUACCUGGUGUGAAUUGCAGAAUCCCGCGAACCAUCGAGUCUUUGAACGCAAGUUGCGCCCGAGGCCACUCGGCCGAGGGCACGCCUGCCUGGGCGUCACGC